UACGUAGGUGACAAGCGUUGUCCGGAAUUAUUGGGCGUAACGAGCUCGUAGGCGGUCUGUUGCGUCCGCUGUGAAAACUCGGGGCUUAACCCCGAGCCUGCAGUGGAUACGGGCAGACUAGAGGUAGGUAGGGGAGAAUGGAAUUCCCGGUGUAGCGGUGAAAUGCGCAGAUAUCGGGAGGAACACCGGUGGCGAAGGCGGUUCUCUGGGCCUUACCUGACGCUGAGGAGCGAAAGCGUGGGGAGCGAACAGG
rnacentral:rRNA from 1 species